CAGAUCCCAGCAUGGUCAGCGCCUACAUGUACCCAGCAGGUGCCCCUGGGGCACAGGCAGCCCCUCAGGCCCAGGCCGGGCCCACCACCAACCCUGCCUACUCCUCGUACCAGCCUACUCCAACCCCAGGCUACCAGAAUGUGGCUUCUCAGGCCCCACAGAGCCUCCCAGCCAUCUCCCAGCCUCCACAGACCAGCAACAUUGGCUACAUGGGGAGCCAGCCAAUGUCCAUGGGCUACCAGCCAUACAACAUGCAGAAUCUCAUGACCACCCUUCCAGGCCAGGAUGCGUCUCUGCCAGCCCAGCAGCCCUACAUCACAGGGCAGCAGCCCAUGUACCAGCAGAUGGCACCCAGCACUGGCCCUCCCCAGCAGCAGCCCCCUGUGGCCCAACCGCCACCUACACAGGGACCGCCAGCACAGGGCAAUGAGACCCAGCUCAUCUCCUUCGACUGACCUUGAGUCUGGCGCUCACCAUCCAGAGUAACACUACAGUUCUCCAGAAACCACUUAUAUGUCUAACUAGCCAUUUCCUCCCAUUACUGCCCUGUAGUGUCCCUUCUGUGAGCAAGGGGUGGGCCUUCACCCUUGGCCCUCCUCCCUGUCCUCAGUGGUCUGGCUCCUGUCACUGGUUCCCUGCUUUGGUCCUGAUGCAGUCCAACCUUCCCGGGACUGGGACUCUGCAGGACAAGUAGGACCUUUUCUGGAGAAUGCCCAGCUGUGUCGGGGCCUGCCAGAGGUGACUGCUGUGGGGAUGGUUAGCCUGGCCCAGAGUCCGAUGUGAACUGUGUGGUGUCCAGGCAUGGCCCUGGUACCCAGAAGAACGAUGUGACCCAUGCACAGCAAGGGUAGAAGUUUCAGGCAUCUCUGUCUCCCCUACUCCUUGGAUGUCAUCUCUCCAGUGCAGAACAGUGAAAAUAAAAUGUAUUUCAAAAUUCUCAU
rnacentral:lncRNA from 1 species